AUCUGUCCAGUGCCCCUUUUAUAUUGUACUACUGGUGAGUGUACUAUGAAAGCAGUGCAAUGUUAAAAGGGCAGUGGCCGGAGGU
rnacentral:pre_miRNA from 1 species